rnacentral:lncRNA from 1 species
AAGGUGGGAUUGCCAUCGUCGCCGCCGGCAUGAUCAGAACUCGAACUCGGGGUGGAAUCAACGACAUCGUCAUAGGGAUUGGGUGAAUCCAUUGUAGAGGAAAGAUGAACUGAUGAUGACAAAGAGAGAACCAGACGACGCUUAUUUAUAUGCCUUCUACGACGACGACGAUUUCUUUUUUUUUUUUUCUUUUUUUCUGAGGUGCUGUAUUAAUCUUUCAACAUGUGAUUUUUCAUGGUCGUGUUCUUUCUUUAAUUUAUCGUGACGUCAAUCAUAGAAACUAGAAAAAACUAGGCAUGACCAAAAGCUAACCUUAACCGUAUUUUUAACCAUAACCGGACCGUUUAUCAACCGUAACCGGACCGUAACCGUAUAAAACGGUUAAAAAUUGUAACCGUUAACCGUAAAAGUAAAUUAGUUACGGUUGAAAAAUAAUAAUAACCGUAACCGUUAAUUAACCGUAACCAUAAUUAACCGUAAUUAAUCGUCGGUUAACCGUACGGUUAAACGCUCGAUUAACCGCAUAUUUAAAUUUUUUAAAUAAAUUAUAUUAUAACUGUAUACAAUACCCAGAUUUAACUAAUUCAGUAUAAAUAAUUGAAAUAAGAUAUAUUUUUUACUUGUAAAAUAAAUAAUAUUUCAUAAAAUUUUAUCUCCAAUAUUAAUAUUAUAAUAAUCAUCAAAUAACCGUAACCGUAUUUAACCGUAACCGUAAUUAACCGUAACCGUAUAUAACCGUAACCGUCUUAACCGUAUAUAUAAUGAUUAAGGUUAUGGUUAAAAAAAUUAUAACCGUUAACCGGUGGUUAAUUAACCAUAACCACAUUAACCGUAACCGUGGUCAUGCCUAGAAAAAAUCACCAAAAUAAUAAUAAUAAUAAUAAUAACAAAUGACUGAGGGUUUUUCUUAAAAUAAUGCACGAAUUGAAGGAUACACAUUUGAUAUUUCAUAAGCUUAUACUAAAGGUCAUGUAGAUGUACAAAAAAACAUUAUCGAUGACAAAAAAAAAAAAAGUACAAAAAACAUUAUCUUUUGUAAAACACUAAAUUUAACAUUUAUAAGAAUAUCUGUAUAUAUAAAAGGUAUUUUUUUUUUGUUAUUUUCGACAGUUUAGAAUUAAAUUAGGAUGCCUAAUGUCAUUGAAAAUACUCUUCAAGAAUGUUGUGAUAAUAAUGACAUACAUUUGUUCAAAAGGUGUGAUAUUAUAAUACUCAUCAAGAAAGGACAUUUAGAUAUGUAGGUUUAAUUAUUCGUUAUUGUCAAGGGUCCAGCUUCGGACUUCUAAGUUAGACCAUGAACGUAUA